AAUUCCCAGUCCCCUGCACCCCUUCCUGGGACACUAUGUUGUUCUCCGCCCUCCUGCUGGAGGUGAUUUGGAUCCUGGCUGCAGAUGGGGGUCAACACUGGACGUAUGAGGCUCCUCCCUUCUGGAUCUCCUCCUGCCUUGAGUUUCACAUAUAUGGCUCCUAGAUCCUGCUCUAAUCAUCAAAUCCUACACCUCCUGAUUUGGCAGAAAAGCUAGGCCCACAUGGUCAGGACCAUUGGCCAGCCUCUUACCCUGAGUGUGGAAACAAUGCCCAGUCGCCCAUCGAUAUUCAGACAGACAGUGUGACAUUUGACCCUGAUUUGCCUGCUCUGCAGCCCCACGGAUAUGACCAGCCUGGCACCGAGCCUUUGGACCUGCACAACAAUGGCCACACAGUGCAACUCUCUCUGCCCUCUACCCUGUAUCUGGGUGGACUUCCCCGAAAAUAUGUAGCUGCCCAGCUCCACCUGCACUGGGGUCAGAAAGGAUCCCCAGGGGGGUCAGAACACCAGAUCAACAGUGAAGCCACAUUUGCAGAGCUCCACAUUGUACAUUAUGACUCUGAUUCCUAUGACAGCUUGAGUGAGGCUGCUGAGAGGCCUCAGGGCCUGGCUGUCCUGGGCAUCCUAAUUGAGGUGGGUGAGACUAAGAAUAUAGCUUAUGAACACAUUCUGAGUCACUUGCAUGAAGUCAGGCAUAAAGAUCAGAAGACCUCAGUGCCUCCCUUCAACCUAAGAGAGCUGCUCCCCAAACAGCUGGGGCAGUACUUCCGCUACAAUGGCUCGCUCACAACUCCCCCUUGCUACCAGAGUGUGCUCUGGACAGUUUUUUAUAGAAGGUCCCAGAUUUCAAUGGAACAGCUGGAAAAGCUUCAGGGGACAUUGUUCUCCACAGAAGAGGAGCCCUCUAAGCUUCUGGUACAGAACUACCGAGCCCUUCAGCCUCUCAAUCAGCGCAUGGUCUUUGCUUCUUUCAUCCAAGCAGGAUCCUCGUAUACCACAGGAAGAAGAGGCUGGAAAACCGAAAGAGUGUGGUCUUCACCUCAGCACAAGCCACGACUGAGGCAUAAAUUCCUUCUCAGAUACCAUGGAUGUGGAUGACUUCCCUUCAUGCCUAUCAGGAAGCCUCUAAAAUGGGGUGUAGGAUCUGGCCAGAAACACUGUAGGAGUAGUAAGCAGAUGUCCUCCUUCCCCUGGACAUCUCCUAGAGAGGAAUGGACCCAGGCUGUCAUUCCAGGAAGAACUGCAGAGCCUUCAGCCUCUCCAAACAUGUAGGAGGAAAUGAGGAAAUCGCUGUGUUGU
rnacentral:lncRNA from 1 species